rnacentral:rRNA from 1 species
AUUGAACGCUGGCGGCAUGCCUUACACAUGCAAGUCGAACGGUAACGGGCCUUCGGGUGCCGACGAGUGGCGAACGGGUGAGUAAUACAUCGGAACGUGCCGGAUCGUGGGGGAUAACGAGGCGAAAGCUUUGCUAAUACCGCAUACGAUCUACGGAUGAAAGCAGGGGACCGCAAGGCCUUGCGCGGACGGAGCGGCCGAUGGCAGAUUAGGUAGUUGGUGGGAUAAAAGCUUACCAAGCCGACGAUCUGUAGCUGGUCUGAGAGGAUGAUCAGCCACACUGGGACUGAGACACGGCCCAGACUCCUACGGGAGGCAGCAGUGGGGAAUUUUGGACAAUGGGCGCAAGCCUGAUCCAGCCAUGCCGCGUGCAGGAUGAAGGCCUUCGGGUUGUAAACUGCUUUUGUACGGAACGAAAAGCCUUCUUUUAAUACAGGAGGGUCAUGACGGUACCGUAAGAAUAAGCACCGGCUAACUACGUG